UUUGCGGCAUGGUGACUUCCGGUUUAUUUCCGGGUUAUGACGAAGUACAAUAACAGCGAUAAAUACGGACAAAUUAUCAUUCCAGAUGAUUCAAAUAUGCUGAUGUUACCUUCUGAGAUCAUUACUUUCAAUGAAGAACAGCACUACAAUUGGUUGGGCUGCUAGAUUGGUAGAUCCGUGAUGGACAGCUAAUACCUGACAUGCUAUUGUUAGUUUGGCAUCUAUUGCUUACUCGAUAAAACAGCCUCAAGUCAACGUUGUAAGUGCUCCGUCACCAUGAUGUGUCACUGUGGUACGAAAGGAUUGGGAUCAAGUAUGCUAACUGCUAUGCGGAUUGUUGAGAGCAAUAUGAUGAGGGAAGGCAGGAAAGAGUCUUAUUGUCUGUAUGUACUCAAAAUGGUGUUCGAGAGGUGGCGAAUAAGGAUUUGCUUGCAGCAUUGAAGAACGAUAAUGUGCAAAGAACAAAAAGAAAGGUUCUCUUAACAUAGAAAGUAAAGAAAUAAUGAAGUUCACACUACAGCUGACAAUCUGGAUGUGUUUCCUUUGUUAUUUGAACAUGAUUUAUUUUAACUUACAUAACAAGUAUGCACUACAAUAAUGAAUAUCUAUAUUAAUAGUAAUGAUAUUCCAUUUAACAUGGAUAUGGAAAAAAUAUUCUUUGACAAUGCAAGAUAAGAUAAAUCCAGACAUAGUCAGAGUCUUCAGUUAACUUGGAUGUGUUCCAUUUGUUUCAUCCACAUACUUGAAAUUUGUCUUGUAACUACGUGUAUUUUUAUGAGGUUAAGUGGUGAGUAAUCAACUUUUAUCAUAACAUUUUCUUAUUUGGGGAUAGUAUGUAUUUAUAUUGACACUAUGUGUACCUUCAUUCUCUUCAUUUUUCUGUUCAAAACAAGACCAAAUGUGUCAUUUUAGUUUAACCAUUUUAAACUGUAUUUAUUAUACUCUUCAUUAAAUACCUAUUCGUAUAUUAUCAAACAUUUUAACAAAUUUAAAUGUGUUUGUUAUUAUGUCUCCCCCUCUCUGGGGGAGACAUAUUGUUUUUGCCCUGUCCGUCAGUCCGGUAGUCCGGUAGUCCGUCAGUCCGUCCGUACGUCACACUUCGUUUCCGAUCGAUAACUGGAAAACCGCAUGACCUAGGAUCACCAAACUUGGUAGGGAGGUUGGUCGUGAGGUGUAGAGGAUCCCUAUUGUUUUUGGGGUCACUAGGUCAAAGGUCAAGGUCGCGGCGACCCCCAAUAUAAAAAACAUUUCUGCUCAAAAUCUUGAGAACGGUUUGACCUAGGUUCACCAAACUUGGUAGGGAGGUUGGUCAUGAGGUGUAGAAGAUCCCCUAUUGUUUUUGGGGUCACUAGGUCAAAGGUCAAGGUCGCGGCGACCCCCAAUGUAAAAAACAUUUCCGCUCAAUAUCUUGAGAAUGGUUUGACCUAGGUUCACCAAACUUGGUAGGGAGGUUGAUCAUGAGGUUUAGAAAACUCCUAUAUUUUGGGGGGUCACAAGGUCAAAGGUCAACGUCGCUGUGACCUCUAAUGUAAAAAAAUAUUUUCGUGCAAUAUCAGGAGAAUGCUUUGAUCUAGGUUCACCAAACUAUGAAGUGAGGUUGGUCAUGAUGUCUAGUUCCUAUUGAUUUUGAUUGAAAUCAGUAGGUCAAAGGUCAAGGUCACUGUGACCUUGAGGUGAAGAAACAGUUUCUGCUCAGUAACUAAAGAACGCUUGCACCCAGGAACUUCAUACUUGGUAUGCUAGUGGGUCAUGACUAGAAGAUGACCCCUAUUGAUUUUGGGGUCACUAGGUUAAAGAUCAAGGUCACCCUGAUCUUGAGGUGAAGAAACUGUUUCCGCUCAAUAACUAAAGAUCCUUGGGUCUAGGAACUUCAUACUUGGUAUGCUAGUUGGUCAUGACUAGUAGAUGACUCCAAUUGAUUUUGAGAUCAGUAGGUCAAAGGUCAAGGUCACCCUGACCUUGAGGUGAAGAAACGGUUUCGGCUCUAUAACUAAAUAACGCUUGCACCCAGGAACUUCAUACUUGGUAUGCUAGUUGGUCAUGACUAGUAGAUGACUCCAAUUGAUUUUGAGAUCAGUAGGUCAAAGGUCAAGGUCACCCUGACCUUGAGGUGAAGGAACGGUUUCCGCUCUAUAACUAAAUAACGCUUGCACCCAGGAACUUCAUACUUGGUAUGCUAGUUGGUCAUGACUAGUAGAUGACUCCUAUUGAUUUUGAGAUCAGUAGGUCAAGGUCACCAUGACCUUGAGGUGAAGAAACGGUUUCUGCUCAAUAACUCAAGAAUGCUUACACCCAGGAACUUCAUACUUGGUAUGCUAGUUGGUCAUGACUAGUAGAUAACUCUUAUUGAUUUUGCGAUCAGUUGGUCAAAGGUCAAGGUCACUGACCUUGAGGUGAAGAAACGGUUUCUGCUCAAUAGCUCAAGAACGCUUACACCCAGGAACUUCAUACUUGGUAUGUCAGUUAGUCAUGACUAAUUGAUGGCCCAAAUUUCAUGUCCAUCUAAUGUUUGCUUUCAGUUAAGGCUGUAUAGAUUCUAAUGUUUAUCUUAAGUUGAGGCUGUAUAGAUUCCAAUGUUUGUCUUAAGCUGAGGCUGUAUAGAUCCUAAUGUUUGUCUUCAGUUGAGGCUGUUCAGUUGAAGCUGUAUAGAUUCUAAUGUUUGUCUUCAGUUGA